UAACUUUAGAUUAAAUAAAAAUACCUACUAAAUUUAAAUAUAUUAAUAAGUAAAAAAAAAAAUUAAUAAAAAUUACUUUAAUAAUAGUAAGUAAAAUAAUAAUAACUUAAAUUUAAAAUUUAGCCUUUAAAGCCUAAGUUAUAAUUUAUAGAAAAUACUUUAAGUAUAAUACUUUCUAAGUUUUCUAGAAUAAGAUACUAUAAAAAAUAAGAACCCUAUAUAAUUAGAUAUUAAAUUUAUAUAAAACUUUUUUAAUAAGUUAAAUAGUUUAAAAAUACUAUUUAAAAUAAGAAGUAUAUUUCUUCUAAAAUUAAAUACUAACUAGAAACUAAUAGCAUAUAAAUAGAGUAAUUAAAAGAUAAAAAGUAUUUUAAAAAAAAGGUUAAAUAAUAUGUGAAAUUAUUAAAAAAGAAGUAUUUAUAAUUAGACUUAUACCUAGUAGAUUACCUAAUUUUUAUAGCUAAAGUAUUCUACCAGCUUAGACUAAUAUUAACUUACUAUUAGAAAUAAAAGCUUUAGGAAUAUAAUUCCCUCUAAGGAAUAUUAUAACCUAUUAUAUAAUACCUUUUAGUAAGCUAAAGUAUAUAUUUUAUAAAGAUGCUAAUAUAAUAGUUAUUAGUAACCUAUUUUAAAAUAUAAAUUAAAAAGUCAACUUUAUAUAUAAAUAUUUAAAUAUUAAACUCCUAUAUAUAAUAAAAAUAAAUAUAAAUAAGAACUUUAGUAUAUUAUUAACUAAUCCUAAUAUUUUUAGAUAGAUUUAAGUAAGAAUAUAUAAAAUUAGAUUUAAAAGAAAGUAAACUAUAUAUAUAUAGAGUAAAACUAGAGGAAAUUCUAGUAGAGGCUUAUAGUAAUUUUAAUAUAUAAAUCAAUUAUUAAAUAUAUAUAUAGAGGUAAAAAACUAAUCAAACCUUCUAAUAACUAGUUUCUACUAAAAUUUCCUUUAGGAUAGUAAUAUUAAAUUUAGUUCUAUAAAGUAAAGUAAAUAAUUAGGAACUUAGAAACAUUAUAUUAUUUUUAUUUAUUCUUAAAUUUUAAAUAUAUAAAAAACUUUUAUUACUUAGUUAAAUAUAAAUAUUUAAAUAUAUUAAUACUAAUAGGCUAUUUUUAAUAAGUAAAACUAGUAAUAUAGGAUAAACUAAAUAUAAGGUUAAAAUACUAAAGUAGAUACUUAUUAGAUACUAUAAAAAAUAUUAAUAUAUUUUAAUAAUAAGAUAGUAGCUAUAGAAGUUAGAAUCUACUAAAAACUAUAUAAUAACUUACUUACUAAAUAUACUAGCCCUAAAAAUAGAUAAUAUUUAAAUAUCUUACUUAUAUUUUACUUUUAAUAUAGAAAUAAUACACUAAGGAGUAAGUAGAUAUAAAAGUUAGUAAUAAAACCUAAAGUAUAAAUCUAAAUAGAAUAGCUUCUAGUAUAAAUCUUAAUAAUAGUAGUAGAUAAUUUAAUAAGAAUUUAAAAAACUAAAAUAAGGAAAAGUUUUAUAUAAAUAGUAAUUAGAUAUAAAUUAAUUAAUUUUAAACUAUAAGGAAAUUUUAUUUUAAAAAAAUACUUAUAUUUUAUAUAGUAAAAAGGAAACUAGUUAAUAUUCUAAUACGUAAAUAUAGGUUUUAUAUAGUAAUAUAACUAAAUAUAAAGAUAAUAGUAGGAAUUCUAAAUAGAGUUCUUUUUUUUUAAUAAUUUAUUAUUUUAAAAUCAGUUUAUCUAAAGCUAGAGUUUAAUAACUAGAAAAACCUAAUAUUUCUAUUAAGUUUAAUAUAUUCUUAAUAUCUCUUAAAAAUCUAUAGGAAAGAAUAAUUCUUAUAUUAAGUUAUACUUAUAAUUAUAAUAAGUCUCUAAAAUAAAUAACUUCUAAUUAAUAGAAUAAUAUAAAUAAGAGAAGUUAGUAAAAUAGAUCUAUAAUUUUAAAAUAAAGAUUAAUUCUAAAAAUUAGGUAUAUUAGGCUUUAGGUAGAUAACUUAGGAGUAGGUUACUAUUAGUUAGGUAAUUAGUUAGAGACUUCUAGUAUUUAGGUUCUAAUACUUUUAGUAGGUUUUAACUAUUUAAUAUAUAAUUAAUAACUAAUUUAGAACUAGUAUAAAUAAGGGGAAUCUAACUAUCUAAUUAAAAUAUAAUAUUAUAAUAGUUAGAAAGUAAUAUUAAUAUAAUAUAAUUUCUACUUAGUAUUCUAAAUAUCAAAAUAAAGUAAUUUAACUAAAUAUGAGUAAAUAGUAGGAGUAAUUAUAGUUUAACUAAGAGGAUUAUUAGAAUAAUAUUAAAAAAAGUAAUUACUAAUAGAAUCUUACGCCUUAUAAUACUAUUAAAUUAUAAAAACUUCUUAAAACUUUCUACUACUAUAAUUAAUUAGAAAUAGUUAGUAUAAUACUUAGGUUAAUAACUUAGGGGAUAGUAAUAAUAUAG
rnacentral:ncRNA from 1 species